rnacentral:rRNA from 1 species
AGAGUUUGAUCCUGGCUCAGAACGAACGCUGGCGGCGUGCUUAACACAUGCAAGUCGAACGCGAAAAUUUUCCUCGGAAAGUGAGUAGAGUGGCGCACGGGUGAGUAACGCGUAAGUUAUCUACCUCGGCAUUCGGAAUAACUCACCGAAAGGUGUGCUAAUACCGGAUACGUUGAGUAAUCAAGAAAGGUGGCCUCUGAAUAUGCUACUGUGCUGAGAUGAGCUUGCGUACCAUUAGCUAGUUGGUAGGGUAAUGGCCUACCAAGGCAACGAUGGUUAGCGGGUCUGAGAGGAUGAUCCGCCACACUGGAACUGAAACACGGACCAGACUCCUACGGGAGGCAGCAGUGAGGAAUAUUGCGCAAUGGGGGAAACCCUGACGCAGCGACGCCGCGUGGAUGAUGAAGGCCUUCGGGUCGUAAAAUCCUGUCAAGUGGAAAGAAAUGCAUGGUGGCUAAUACCUGCCAUGUUUGACGGUACCACUGAAGGAAGCACCGGCUAACUCCGUGCCAGCAGCCGCGGUAAUACGGAGGGUGCAAGCGUUGUUCGGAAUUACUGGGCGUAAAGCGCGCGUAGGCGGUUUGCUAAGUCAGAUGUGAAAGCCCAUGGCUCAACCAUGGACGUGCAUUUGAAACUGGCAGACUUGAGUAUUGGAGGGGGGUAGAAUUCCACGUGUAGCAGUGAAAUGCGUAGAGAUGUGGAGGAAUACCGAUGGCGAAGGCAGCCCCCUGGGCUAUUUCUGACACUCAUGCACGAAAGCGUGGGGAGCAAACGGGAUUAGAUACCCUGGUAGUCC